rnacentral:lncRNA from 1 species
UUCUUGACUGUGAACUGGACCUAGUGACUCACUUCCAAAGGACAGAGUAUGGAAAAGGAAAAAGAAUAAUUUUACAGUGGAGAAAACUGGCAGACACCACCUUAACCCAGCGAUCAAGGUUAACAUCACCAGCAAUAAAACAUGUUGACAUCAUGUACCCCUGACAUGAUGUGACAAGAAGGGCACGUCACCCUGCACUCUGUUGUAUUCAUAACUCCAGACUAAUCAUGAGAAAACACCAGACAAACUCAAAUUUAGGGCCAUUCUACAAAAUACUUGACCAGUACUCUUCAAAAGUGUCAAGGUCAUGGAAAGCAAGGAAAGACUGGCAACAGUGAUAGAUCGGAGGAGACUAAGGAGACGUGACAACUAAGUGCAAAGUGGUAUCUCGUAUCAGAUCUGGAACAGGACAGUAGCGGAUAAACUGGGGCAAUUCAAAUGAGGCUGUGCUUUAGGUACGAGGAUGACCAACCAUCCUGAAGGGGCACUUUGGGUGUGGGACUUCCAGUCCUAAAAUUGGCACAGCCCUGGUUUGUCUGGAACUAGGGGCUUCCUGGUACAAGAGGCUUUCGGUGCUGAAACCAGCGAAGUCUCAGGAAACCUGGAUGACUUGGUUAUCCCAGCAACACACACUACCGUACAAGGUUCGCUUCCUAGUUUUGAGUAGCAUAUCACAGUCAUGUAAAUGGUAACAUUAGGGCAAGCUGGUGAAGGGGACACAAGAACACUCUGUGCCAUCCUUCCAACUCUUCAGUAAAUCUAAAAUUAUUUCAAAAUAAAAAGUUUAAAACAAAACAAUUGAAUAAUAAAAACAGAGAGGAGGAGGCAAGAGGUGCGAGGAAGUAUAAAGUACCCUAAUAGCCUCACUUUUCAUGGCAAAACGUUGAUAGAUGCAGCCAAGCCCCAGGAGGCAACCAGAAAUGGAAAAGUCUGGAAGGACUCCCCUCUCUGUCCAUGCAUGGUACGUGGGCGGAUCUCUCAGCCCUUGAUGUCCCAGCAUCCCUGCUCCAGUCUCCUUCCUCCCAGCUUUCCUUCUCUCCGUGCACACGCCCACCCCAGCGCUCCAUGACCCCUCCUCCCCGCGCUCAGUGCUAAGCAGGCAGUCUCUGAGUCCCAGGGUAAAUCCCAAGUGGAGCAAAGCUGAGUCUUGUGUCCACCUCUGACUCCAUCAGUUAUCGCUGGUGGGUGGGACACAGCCCACUGCCCCUCCGUCAGCAGAGGGAGAAACCGGAUGAUAGGCAGGCAAGUGGGUGCCCAAGUCACUGAUGCUUAUGGUAGGGUAAAAGGAAAACAAUGCAAACAAUACUAAAGAAAAAGUAACGUUGUUGAGCACCUCCGUGUUGCCUCUUGACAAUUAAACAAAGCUGCUUAAAUUUUUUUUAGGGUACAAACCCAUGACUGCUCAAGCUUCUAGAGGCAAUCCACAUUUCUUGGCUCAUGGCUCCUUCCUCCAUCUUUGAAGCCAGCAAUGACAAGCCAGGUCCUCCUCACACCACCGUCUCUCUGGUUCUCUGCAGCCAGGAAUGGGUCUUUGUUUUUAAGGACGUGUUAGAUUGAACCCACCUGGAUGAUCCAGGCAUCGCUCUCCACCUCAAGGUCCAUUAAUCACGUCUGCAAAGCUCUUUUGCCAUAUAAAGCAACCUAUUCAUAGGUUAAGGGAGAUUAGGGCGUGGGUCUCUUUG